rnacentral:rRNA from 2 species
GGUUGACCUCGGAUCAAGUAGGGAUACCCGCUGAACUUAAGCAUAUCAAUAAGCGGAGGAAAAGAAACCAACAGGGAUUACNUUAGUAACGGCGAGUGAAGCGGUAACUGCUCAAAUUUGAAAGCUGCCAACAGGCCGCGUUGUAAUUUGUAGAAGAUGCUUUGGGUGUCGGCCCAGUCUAAGUUCCUUGGAACAGGACGUCAUAGAGGGUGAGAAUCCCGUAUGUGAUUGGUGCCGUCCCCCGUGUAAAGCUCUUUCGACGAGUCGAGUUGUUUGGGAAUGCAGCUCAAAAUGGGUGGUAAAUUUCAUCUAAAGCUAAAUAUUGGCCAGAGACCGAUAGCGCACAAGUAGAGUGAUCGAAAGAUGAAAAGCACUUUGGAAAGAGAGUUAAACAGUACGUGAAAUUGUUGAAAGGGAAGCGCUUGCAAUCAGACUUGCAGGCGGUUGAUCAUCCGAGGUUCUCCCCGGUGCACUCGAUCGUCUUCAGGCCAGCAUCGGUUUCAGUGGUGGGAUAAAGGCUGUGAGAACGUGGCUCUUCGGAGUGUUAUAGCUCACGGUGCAAUGCCGCCUACUGGGACCGAGGACCGCGCUUCGGCUAGGAUGCUGGCGUAAUGGUUGUAAGCGACCCGUCUUGAAACACGGACCAAGGAGUCUAACAUCUAUGCGAGUGUUUGGGUGUCAAACCCAUACGCGUAAUGAAAGUGAACGGAGGUGAGACCCCAUUAGGGCGCAUCAUCGACCGAUCCUGAUGUCUUCGGAUGGAUUUGAGUAAGAGCAUAGCUGUUGGGACCCGAAAGAUGGUGAACUAUGCGUGAAUAGGGUGAAGCCAGAGGAAACUCUGGUGGAGGCUCGCAGCGGUUCUGACGUGCAAAUCGAUCGUCAAAUUUGCGUAUAGGGGCGAAAGACUAAUCG